GCCGAGGACCCCACACCCCCCCGUCAUCACACUCGACCACACACAUCCCAUCAUCACCUUCACCAUCAUCAUCAUCAUCCAAAACCACAGGCACACCAAACAUCCUGACUGACAGGCGGGAGAGAGAGAGAGAGAGAUCUAUUAUGCAGAACAGACAGAAUAAAGACGACAUCAUCACUGUGAUGAUGAAGAAGAACAUCAGAAUUGUGUUGAACUUUUAGGAGGACCUGAAGGAGACAUGUGAACUGAACAGAUGUGGAGAUAAACACACAGAUUCACACAUGAUGGGUGCCGCUGGGGUUAAACUCAUGAAAGUUUUGAGAUGAACUGAAGAACUCCACCCAUGAAACAUGAGGCCGGGCAGCACAUCUGACGCCUGUAAUUGAAUUCAGACAAUCCCACCACUGCAACUAUUACACAACUUACACAUGUCAAACAAAACCACAACACACACACUCUCUCCACACACACUGCUCUGUUUAAUAGAGAACUCCUCCUGUACACUACACAUUAUCAUCACCUCGGCACUUCAGCCCUGUGCAUUAUGGGAUACUGUUCAAGUUCCUUACAAACUGAUUGUGUUAUCUCCUGUGCAGGUACAUCAGAGCGUGCAUACUUCAGUCAGAGUGUGUUAGUGUGUUGUUGUAAACAUGAGGAGUGUUUAUCCUGCUGCUGUUGUAAACACUAAAGCCGACAGUGAAUAUAGAAGGAUCUGAUAAUCUCCAGUUUCUGAACUAAACACACACACACACACACAGGUCUCACCGUGAUUUAAUCUCACAUAGAACAGCAAAGUUCAAUCACAAACACACACAAACACACAUCUACACACACAAACACACAUCCCACUGUGAUUUACAGUAAUCUCACAUAGAACAGCAAAAUUCAAUCCUAAACAUACAUUUGUGCAAAAACCCGAGCAUACACAAUGGGUCCAACACUAACACAGACACACACUUAAUAUACACUAGCACUUUCUUUAACACAAUACAACAAACACACACCCUAGUUAGUUCUGAACCGAACAGGUUAAUUGUGAAAAGAUCAUGACGUCAUUCAUAAAGAAACAAACAAGGUCUUGUGAACAAAUGGAAGACGCACAUGUGUGUGUGUGUGCAGUGUUUGUUUAGUUUGAUUGACACACACAUUGAUCAUAAGACCCGUGUCAUGUUUAGAGAGUUAGUGAAGAGUGAAGAGGAAUGAAGCUCGAGGGGUUUCGUGUCCGAACGGCUCAUGCACACAAACACACUCAGUCCUGUAACACAACAAGUCAUCACAACCUUCAUCACUAGAGUCACGGGUUCUGUCCUACACAACUGAUCAUGAUCGAUGAACUCAGAUCUGAUCAACAUUAAUCAUUUAUAUGUGUUAUUUAAAGAGUUUUAUUAAAGGUCUGGUCGUGUUCUCAGUUCAGUCAGUUAAGUGUUCUUGAGUUUAUAAGUGUGCUUUAUUAAAUUAAUAACUGUUUUUACCGUGCGUCUUCUAGACAUCACGCUACGCAAAUAUCGCGAGACUUAACACUUCCUCUCGCGUUAAUCUUCCACAAAAUCCUCUCGAUUUCAAUUAGUUAAUAAAUGGUUUAAGAUAAAUGUAUUUGUAUUAUGUUUGUUGUGUUUUUUAUAUGUUGUAUAUAGGCUACACGUACAUCUUUCUAUACAUACAGUGUUUUAUCUCU